CUCGAUCCAUGGAGCUGCAGCUAAAGCAGAAGUCAGUCUACAUCAAAGCGAUGUUGUAAGCUGGUCCAGUAAAAGCUUAUAAAAAAUGUGAUUAUAAACACUGUAUCUGAUGUCUAUCUGUCCCACUCUCAAUCCAGCUGAAAAACUGCAUGUCAGAAACUUUCCUGUGAGCUUUAUGUGAACAUUUUGUAGGAAUUACAGGCCUCCAUGUGUCACUGUUUUGAAGAGCUCCACCCAGAUCCAUUUGAAAUUCCUCAGCGCGUGGGAAGAUCCCAGCCAGUCUUGAACACUCUGAGUGAUUCCAGGUUCUGCAGAGAUCCAUGGUCCCCUGUCUCAGAACUUAAUUCUCCAAUUUGGCAAGGGAGAAUCUGUUGCAAGCUACACAGUUUUGACAGAUUAUUAUGCAACAAAACCACAAAUACAUCUACAUACCAUGUCUUCUUCUGCUACAGAGAGGAAGACUUGAAAAAGUGAAUUCUGUCAUCAUCAGUGCCAACAGAAAUGCUGCUAUUAAUUUUAAUGAAGCCAGGAUUUCUUCCAAAGAUUACAACGGUGGAUAUAUGUUUUCGUAUUCAUGAUACCCAAAA